GGAGUAUAGCUACUGUGGGAGAGCGCUUGAAUGGCAUUCAAGAGGUCAGCGGUUCGAUCCCGCUUAUCUCCACCA
rnacentral:tRNA from 1 species